ensembl:lncRNA
AACGAUUCUUGUGAAAAUCCACAGCAGUGCAAUGUACCAAAUGAGAGAAAGAGAGAGUGGAUCUGUCACUGUUGUUACCAACAUCUUAAAGUUGGCCGCAUGCCACAACUCGCCAUCGCAAAUAAUUUACAGCUCGCAGAUAUUCCACCUGAACUGUGUGACUUAAACAUAUUGGAGAGACAUCUCAUUAGCAAAUACAUUACGUUUGCCAAAAUAAUCCCGCUUCCCAAAGGUCAACAACGAGCCAUUCAUGGCAAUGUAAUAUGCGUCCCAUCAGAAGUGCAGGAAACUGUCAAUGCCUUGCCCAGACUUAGAAGUGAAUCUCAAGUCUUGAGAGUGAAGCUAAAGAGACGUUUGUGUUAUAAAGGUCAUCAGCUAUUCCAAACUGUAACCUGGACUAAACUAGUGAGGGCUUUGCUUAAGCUUAAAGAGGUCCAUCCACAGUACAACGACAUAACCAUCAGAGAUGAGGCUGAAUUAUGCGAUCAACUCUAGAUGAGGACGAAGAGACUGAAAGCAUAGAUGACACAGAUUUUAAUGCUGAAGAUAUGAUGGAAAUCGACAGCUUUGAGAACGGUGCACUUUGCGAGGCAGAACCUGAAAACAAUGAACAGGCUAUUGAUUCAAUUGAAUUAAGUCAGCAGUCAAACAGCAAUCAACAGGAGGGUGAUGAACCUAAUGGCGGCAUUGCUCUCGAGUCAUGUCUGCAGCCAACUGACAUUUCAGAGGAAAUUUUGAGCUUUAGCGAAGGAAUAUAUUCGGUUGCGCCCGCUGAAGGAAACAAACCAGUAAGCUUUUUCAAAACUCCUAACCUUGAGGCGAUGGCUUUCCCCGUUCAGUUUCCGACGAGCAAAAACACAAUCGAUGAAGAGCGUCCGAAGAAAUUAACUCCCUGCAGUUAUUUCAAAAGUAGACUGAGCUGCAUCGACGACCGUUUUGCAAGAGAUACAAACUAUUUGUUCUUUGCACAGUUUGUACAAGAAAUAUAUCAGGCCACCUCCAGCAUGUCAAUACAAUUGCGCAAAGAAAACCGUAUACCCGCGACGGUCGCAAAAUAAACAAUGCAAUGUUGCAAGACAAACACGAGGUUGAAAAACUGGUACGUAACAAAGACGCAAUUCGAUUCAUGAAAGUUUUUUGCGAGGCAGCCCGCCUACUGGCAACAAACUACCAAAGACUUGUUUGCGAUGAUAAGGCAAUGUGG